CCCUUAGAUGUUCUGGGCCGCACGCGCGCUACACUGAUGCAUUCAACGAGUCUAAAACCUGCUCUGAUAGGGGUGGGUAAUCUUUUGAAUGUGCAUCGUGAUUGGGAUAGAUGAUUGAAAUUUUUCAUCUUCAACGAGGAAUGCCUAGUAAACGCAAGUCAUCAGCUUUCAUUGAUUACGUCCCUGCCCUUUGUACACACCGCCCGUCGCUCCUACCGAUUGAAUGAUCCGAUGAAUAUCAUGGAUUGAGGAUGCAAGUAGGUUCACCUAUCUUCAUCUUCGAGAAGUGAAGUAAAUCUUAUCAUUUAGAGGAAGGAGAAGUCGUAACA
rnacentral:rRNA from 1 species